AUCGCUCUGAAGCAAGCCCCUUGAUCCUGAAUCAAGAAAGUAUCCAGCCCAGGAGUUCUGGGCUGUAGUGUGCUAUGCUGAUAGGGUGUCCGCACUAAAUUCGGCAUCAAUAUGGUGACCUUCCCCGGAGCGGGGAACCACCAGGUUGCCUAAGGAGGGGUGAACCAGCCCAGGUUGAAAAUGGAGCAGGUCAAAACUCCCGUGCUGAUCAAUAGUGGGAUCGUGGCUGUGAAUAGCCACUGCAUUCCAGUCUGGGCAACAUGGUGAGA
rnacentral:sRNA from 1 species